rnacentral:rRNA from 1 species
GACGAACGCUGGCGGCGUGCUUAACACAUGCAAGUCGAACGGAAAGGCCCUGCUUUUGUGGGGUGCUCGAGUGGCGAACGGGUGAGUAACACGUGAGUAACCUGCCCUUGACUUUGGGAUAACUUCAGGAAACUGGGGCUAAUACCGGAUAGGAGCUCCUGCUGCAUGGUGGGGGUUGGAAAGUUUCGGCUGUUGGGGAUGGACUCGCGGCUUAUCAGCUUGUUGGUGGGGUAGUGGCUUACCAAGGCUUUGACGGGUAGCCGGCCUGAGAGGGUGACCGGCCACAUUGGGACUGAGAUACGGCCCAGACUCCUACGGGAGGCAGAAGUGGGGAAUAUUGCACAAUGGGCGGAAGCCUGAUGCAGCAACGCCGCGUGCGGGAUGACGGCCUUCGGGUUGUAAACCGCUUUCGCCUGUGACGAAGCGUGAGUGACGGUAAUGGGUAAAGAAGCACCGGCUAACUACGUG